ACCAUAAAGUACCAAAGACAGUAGGAGCAUUUAUUUGCGUAACUAAAUUCCUACCGAGGACAAAAGAUUCAUUAAUGGGAUUUUAAGGUCUUCACGUCUUUGAUGUGAGGACUUUUUAAUUA
rnacentral:sRNA from 1 species